UACGUAGGGGGCAAGCGUUGUCCGGAUUUAUUGGGCGUAAAGAGCUCGUAGGCGGCUUGUCGCGUCGACUGUGAAAACCCGCGGCUCAACUGUGGGCUUGCAGUCGAUACGGGCAGGCUGGAGUUCGGUAGGGGAGACUGGAAUUCCUGGUGUAGCGGUGAAAUGCGUAGAGAUCAGGAGGAAUACCGGUGGCGAAAGCGACUCUCUGGACGGCAACUGACGCUGAGGCACGAAAGCGUGGGGAGCAAACAGG
rnacentral:rRNA from 1 species